rnacentral:rRNA from 1 species
CUUUACUGUAGCCUGGUAUUGGGUUCGGGCUUUGACUGCGCAGGAUAGGUGGGAGACUGAGAAGUGUGCCUUGUGGGGCACAUAGAGUCAACGGUGAGAUACCACUCUGUCAGAGCUAGAAUUCUAACCCUUCGCCGUGAUCCGGCAGGGGAACAGUAUCAGGGGGGCAGUUUGACUGGGGCGGUCGCCUCCUAAAAGGUAACGGAGGCGCGCAAAGGUGUUCUCAGGCUGGUUGGAAAUCAGCCGUAGAGUGUAAAGGCAGAAGAACGCUUGACUGUGAGAGUGACAACUCAAGCAGGGUGGAAACACGGCCUUAGUGAUCCGACGGUAUGCGCGUGGAAGUGCCGUCGCUCAACGGAUAAAAGUUA